GACGAACGCUGGCGGCGUGCCUAAUACAUGCAAGUAGGACGCAGUUGCGAACGUGUUAGUAACGCGUCGGUACCUACCUAUUAGUGGGGGCUAACUAUUGGAAACGAUAGCUAAUACCGCCUACUCGUAGAUUUACCUGCGUUGUAUUAGCUAGGAGGUAGGGUAAUGGCCUACCUAGGCAACGAUACAUAGCCGAACGUAGAGGGGGAACGGCCAAAAUUGGACUGAGAAAAGGGCCAGACUCCUACGGGAGGCAGCAGUAGGGAAACUUCGGCAAUGGGGGGAACACUGACCGAGCAACGGCGCGGGAGUGAAGAAGGUUGUCGGAUCGUAAAGCUCUGUUGUGAAGGAAGCGGUACUUAACCAGAAAGGGACGGCUAACUACGUGCCAGCAGCCGCGGUAAUUC
rnacentral:rRNA from 1 species